rnacentral:rRNA from 1 species
CUACGUGCCAGCAGCCGCGGUAACACGUAAGGUGCGAGCGUUGUUCGGAAUUAUUGGGCGUAAAGGGCAUGCAGGCGGUCGUGCAAGCCCGGCGUGAAAGGCGGGGGCUCAACUCCCGAACUGCGCUGGGAACUGUAAGGCUUGAGUUUCUGAAGGGUAGUCGGAAUUCCACGUGUAGGGGUGAAAUCUGUAGAUAUGUGGAAGAACACCAAUGGCGAAGGCAGGCUACCGGCAGAAGACUGACGCUGAGGUGCGAAGGUGCGGGGAGCAAACAGGAUUAGAUACCCUGGUAGUCCGCACAGUCAACGAUGUGCACUAGAUGUCUGUCCAUGAGGAUGGGUGUCAAAGCAAACGCGAUAAGUGCACCGCCUGGGGAGUAUGCCCGCAAGGGUGAAACUCAAAGGAAUUGACGGGGGCCCGCACAAGCGGUGGAGCAUGUGGUUUAAUUCGAUGGUACGCGAGGAACCUUACCUGGGUUUGACAUACACAGGGAUUAUGUAGAGAUAUGUA